GCCAGCAUAUCUAUUUCUUUGCAUACUAAAAUUGCAACCAUGUCAGCGUCCAAUAAGAAUUUGUCAUUUGUGUUUUCAAUUUUCUAGCCGCUUUUUAUUCGUAAAAUGGCAGCUGUGCGCGCUCGUUGUAUUCGUGAUUCCGUUAUCCGUUGAAUUUUUUCUUUGCGUUACGAAUGGUAGACAUAAAGUGAAUUGAAAAAGUAAAGGUUUCUAAUUCUAUUAUAAAAUAUAAAUUUGAAUUAAUAAGCGGUGGAAAAUAUUGAAUUAAUAGAAGAAAGCACUCCUUUAGCAAAGUGAUUCAAAUGGAAUUUUAAUGUACUUUGCAGUGUAAAAACAAAAGUAGAAGACGCUGCUUAUUGUUCCGCGAAAUUUCCUGCAAAGGAUGUAGUGAAAUAUUGAUGGGAGAUUGAUAUGGAGAGUGUGUUGUCUGAAGAAGUUUCAAAGUAUUGAAUUACAACAGUUUUUAGUGACUAAAAAACAAAAGUAUCCUGAAGUUCUUUGGUUUUAUUAAUGUUUUGAGAAGUGAUAAAGUAGUGUAAAGUUUCGAAAGUUGAAGUGUUUUACCGUCUUACUGGAAGGAAUUAUGUUCAGAUAACUUCCUGAUUUUCUAUCAGACGCUUUGGUACACUUACAUAUGUACAUAAUAUCCCUUUACUUCAAAGGACGAGAUAUUUAUGAAAUGUGCGUAUGUGUGUGUUCCAUAGAGAGUGUAACACUAACGAAAUAUAACAACGGAUUUGGCAAAACAAUCAAACAAUUCAUACCGGACAGGACGAGAAAAACAUUCAGAAUUAAUGAUCAAUUUCAUUUUACGAUAACAAUAGCGCAAACAACAACAACAACAGCAGCAAAAGCAU